UUGAAUUUUAAUGAGGAGUUUGGUUGUAGCUGGCCCAUUCAUUUGGGCAUGUGCACACCUUCCUCUUUCAUCCCACACACACCUGUGAACCUGUGAGACAGAGAUGGGGAAUUUACUUGCUGCUUUUUGGAAUACAAAGGCAAUAGGUUAUUGGACCCCCCCUCUGUCUACUCAAUUAAUAUAAACUCAAUUUAUUUUAAAACGAAUGUAAUGGAUGUAACACAUCUCAUAC
rnacentral:misc_RNA from 1 species